UACAGAGGGUGCGAGCGUUGUUCGGAAUUACUGGGCGUAAAGGGCGCGUAGGCGGUGUGUCAAGUCAGGCGUGAAAGCCCCGGGCUCAACCUGGGAACCGCGCUUGAGACUGGCACGCUAGAGUUCGGGAGAGGAUGGUGGAAUUCCCAGUGUAGAGGUGAAAUUCGUAGAUAUUGGGAAGAACACCGAUGGCGAAGGCAGCCAUCUGGACCGACACUGACGCUGAGGCGCGAAAGCGUGGGGAGCAAACAGG
rnacentral:rRNA from 1 species